rnacentral:sRNA from 1 species
UUGACAAUCUGACCGUGAAGGCAUACUUUCAGGAGUGAGGGUUGAGCGGGGUUUCCCCCGCCCUGGUAGCCUUAGUAAGCCGGGAAGCUAAUGACUAAGAGCACCACGAUGAUGAGUAUCUUCAUCAUGACCCUUUCCUUAUU